rnacentral:tRNA from 1 species
AGGCUUGUAGUUCAGUGGUAGAACGGGUCGCUCAUAACGAUUAGGUCGUAGGUUCGAAUCCUACCAAGCCUA